AUAGGGGUGCAAGCGUUGUCCGGAUUUACUGGGCGUAAAGAGUUCGUAGGCGGUCUGAUAAGUCAUGUUUUAAAUCCUGGGAGCUCAACUUCAGAAAGGGGCGUGAUACUGUCAGACUUGGAGUACUUAGGGGCUGUUGGAACUUAUCAUGUAGGGGUGAAAUCCGUUGAUAUGAUAAGGAACUCCGAGGGCGAAGGCAGACAGCUGGGAGUAUUUCGACGCUGAGGAACGAAAGCUAGGGUAGCGAAAGGGAUUAGAGACCCCUGUAGUCCUAGCCGUAAACGAUGCUCGCUAGUUUGGUGAUUUUAUUAUUGCCGAACGCAAGCUAACGCGUGAAGCGAGCCGCCUGGGGAGUACGAUCGCAAGAUUA
rnacentral:rRNA from 1 species